rnacentral:tRNA from 1 species
GGCCCGAUGGUCUAGCGGCAGGAUGCGAGACCCUCAAUUUUUCGGCAGGGGUUCGGUUCCCUUACGGGCUA